GUGGAAUGAAACCAGGAAGCACAAAGUUUCAGGAGAGCAAAGAUCCCCCCAGGAAGGAAAAGACAAGGACACGGUGAUGUGUUUGUGCCUCAGAGAAGACUGGAAGCCAGAGGACCAACACGCUGAUGUCUCUGCAAAGCCCACAGCCAUCAGACACAGGUGCCAGGAGGAGGGGAAAUCAGCUGCUUACAGUCUGAAUGACAUAUCCUGAGGAUAAUUUACACUGAUUCCCGAGUGCUAUCUCAUGGUUUUAUCAGUGAUUGCCAAUCGAUCACUCUCCAGAAGACAGAUGGGUUCUUCAAGCAAGGCUGCAAGCAAUGAGCCUCAGAUGUGGGUGUCACCUCCAGAACUGUGGCAGGAAGCAGAGUGGUGAAUACUGAGUAGAACAGUCUAGGAGGCCUACAAAGUUUGAAUGGCCUCUAGUUCAUUGAUAAAAGAAAAGGGGGAUCCUUGAGUAGAUUCUGUUGUAAUGAAUACUUGGGAAGAUAUGAGGAAAAUGUGAGAAAAAUGGCUGCCAUGACUUUGUGACAUUCUCAGAAAAAAAAAAAAACCAAAAAACUACACUGAAUCCAACAUUCUAGAUAGAGGAUUGAUGGAUUGUGGAGAACCGGAAUGGGACUGGCCUGUCUUUAGUCUGCGUGAUACUCAGCAAUUGCCAAGCUCUAUGUGGGUAACCUAACAUCCGUGAGACUUUCAGGUAAAUCCUUUAGGAAUGUAUCAAACAAACUUCUAGCUUCCACCAAUUCAAAGGCUAAGAUUACCAUCAGUUAAUAGCUGAGGCUGUCUCUGUGGUUUUCCCAAGCAUGAUCUUUACCCCCUUUGCUCCUCCCUGUCUUCAAGUGAACUCCAGGAGCUCAGUCCAGUGCUUGGCUGUGGAUCUCUGCAUCUGCUUCCAUCAGUUACUGGAUAUGGGAUCUAUGAUGACAAUCACCAAUCUGAUUACAGGGGAAGGCCCAUUCAGAGCCCAUAUUCCACUACUAUACCGAGAUACCGUUUUACAAAGUUCUUUCAUGUCCACCAUCUCCUUGGAAGUGGUAUGA
rnacentral:lncRNA from 1 species